UACAGAGGGUGCAAGCGUUGUUCGGAAUUAUUGGGCGUAAAGGGCGCGUAGGCGGUGCGGUAAGUCACCUGUGAAAUCUCCUGGCUUAACUGGGAGCCUGCAGGCGAAACUACCGUGCUGGAGUGUGGGAGAGGUGCGUGGAAUUCCCGGUGUAGCGGUGAAAUGCGUAGAUAUCAUUUGGAACGCCAAUGGUGAAAACAGGUAACUGGGGCUGUGCUGACGCUGAGACACGAAAGCCAGGGGAGCGAACGGG
rnacentral:rRNA from 1 species